UUUUUCCACCGGAGCUUGCUCCACCGGAAAAAGAAGAGUGGCGAACGGGUGAGUAACACGUGGGUAACCUGCCCAUCAGAAGGGGAUAACACUUGGAAACAGGUGCUAAUACCGUAUAACAAUCGAAACCGCAUGGUUUUGAUUUGAAAGGCGCUUUCGGGUGUCGCUGAUGGAUGGACCCGCGGUGCAUUAGCUAGUUGGUGAGGUAACGGCUCACCAAGGCCACGAUGCAUAGCCGACCUGAGAGGGUGAUCGGCCACAUUGGGACUGAGACACGGCCCAAACUCCUACGGGAGGCAGCAGUAGGGAAUCUUCGGCAAUGGACGAAAGUCUGACCGAGCAACGCCGCGUGAGUGAAGAAGGUUUUCGGAUCGUAAAACUCUGUUGUUAGAGAAGAACAAGGAUGAGAGUAACUGUUCAUCCCUUGACGGUAUCUAACCAGAAAGCCACGGCUAACUACGUGCCAGCAGCCGCGGUAAUACGUAGGUGGCAAGCGUUGUCCGGAUUUAUUGGGCGUAAAGCGAGCGCAGGCGGUUUCUUAAGUCUGAUGUGAAAGCCCCCGGCUCAACCGGGGAGGGUCAUUGGAAACUGGGAGACUUGAGUGCAGAAGAGGAGAGUGGAAUUCCAUGUGUAGCGGUGAAAUGCG
rnacentral:rRNA from 1 species